UAGGGACAAGAAGACACUCCUGCAGGAGUCGU
rnacentral:piRNA from 1 species